GUGCCGCCGGAUACUUGUGCUUGCCAGCUUCCUAGCUUCCUGCAACAAUUUGUGCUUUUCGCUGAUUUAGUACACACUCGGAGGCGGAAUCGAUCACUUGUAUGUCUCAAGUGAUUAAGGCGUAGGUUGCCGGAAAAUAAGUUGACCAAAAAAUAGCGUGUGAUAGUGCGACGUGCCAAAAAUCUGAAAAAAUUUCAAAAACAGCUAAAAAAUAAUAGCUAAUAACUAAAAAAGCAAAAAGAAAAAACUAAAUUAUUUUUGGUUUGUUCAGUUAUUUUGAGCACACUUAUACAUACAUACGUACGUACGCUCAAAAGUAUCUACAAACAUUUUUGAAAAAUUUGGACGUGCUGCAGUGGCUGGCCUUUCAAAUACGCACCGAAACGCACAAGGAACGCAAACGCGCAGUAUAACACAGAUUUCGUGUCGCGAGUGUGCAAAUAUUCCGCCUCGAGUUGUUGCACUCAGAACAAUUUAGGCCGCUUCCACUUCCGCUACAAAACA